rnacentral:rRNA from 1 species
GAUGAACGCUGGCGGCGUGCCUAAUACAUGCAAGUCGAGCGAACAGACGAGGAGCUUGCUCCUCUUACGUUAGCGGCGGACGGGUGAGUAACACGUGAAUAACCUACCUAUAAGACUGGGAUAACUUCGGGAAACCGGAGCUAAUACCGGAUAAUAUAUUGAACCGCAUGGUUCAAUAGUGAAAGACGGUUUUGCUGUCACUUAUAGAUGGAUCCGCGCCGCAUUAGCUAGUUGGUAAGGUAACGGCUUACCAAGGCGACGAUGCGUAGCCGACCUGAGAGGGUGAUCGGCCACACUGGAACUGAGACACGGUCAAGACUCCUACGGGAGGCAGCAGUAGGGAAUCUUCCGCAAUGGGCGAAAGCCUGACGGAGCAACGCCGCGUGAGUGAUGAAGGUCUUCGGAUCGUAAAACUCUGUUAUUAGGGAAGAACAAAUGUGUAAGUAACUAUGCACGUCUUGACGGUACCUAAUCAGAAAGCCACGGCUAACUACGUG